ACAGCUGGCCAAACCAUGACAACUGGUUUGUACGCAGUCCUUGUGAAAAGGAUGAAAGCGUCCUAGACAACCAAAUUAAUUCGCUCUUCAAAAGCGGUGCUAGACAAAGCCCAUGACUCUAGAGGGCACUGAAGAGAAAAAAGCACAACUAUUCUACAGGGGCAUAUUCUACUAUUCUGCAGGGGCAUAAUAAAUCUUAAGAAUGCUGUUCCUUUAAAGACCAAUACAAAAGCAGCAUACUGCUGUUCCACGGCCUCGAAGCGAAGAGGUGGUGAAGCUGAGAGACCCUAUCCAGGGAACCCGCCAGCGCGACGCGGCGUCUGAAGGUCACGAGCCCCGCCGACAGCCCAGACCCAGUCCGGGCUAGCCCGAGGCCUCCCUGGAGGUGGACGGUUUCAGUCCACACAUACUGGGACCCCAGGGAGACACUCACCAGCAUCCGAGCCUGCCAUGUUUCAGAGGCAGGUCGCCGCCGGACUCCGACGCGGCCGGGAAGGCGACGGUGUCCUGGAAGGACCGAUCCACGCAGACCCGACACUGGGGCGCGGACGCACGAACCAAAGCGCGGGGAAGGAGGCGUGAAAGAAGGACGGACGUUAAAAGAGCUUCUCGCCGCUGAUUGGUCAUCAGAGGAGCACUUCCUUUCACAGGACGUGAAACGGGGGCGGUUUGGGAAGUUUAGAGACCAUUCUCCGCCGACCAAAACCCGUCAAAGGAUUAUCAGACACGCGGGUCGGACGGUCCACAUCA
rnacentral:lncRNA from 1 species